AGAGUUUGAUCCUGGCUCAGGAUGAACGCUGGCGGCGUGCCUAAUACAUGCAAGUCGAGCGAACUGAUUAGAAGCUUGCUUCUAUGACGUUAGCGGCGGACGGGUGAGUAACACGUGGGCAACCUGCCUGUAAGACUGGGAUAACUUCGGGAAACCGAAGCUAAUACCGGAUAGGAUCUUCUCCUUCAUGGGAGAUGAUUGAAAGAUGGUUUCGGCUAUCACAUACAGAUGGGCCCGCGGUGCAUUAGCUAGUUGGUGAGGUAACGGCUCACCAAGGCAACGAUGCAUAGCCGACCUGAGAGGGUGAUCGGCCACACUGGGACUGAGACACGGCCCUGAUUCCUACGGGAGGCAGCAGUAGGGAAUCUUCCGCAAUGGACGAAAGUCUGACGGAGCAACGCCGCGUGAGUGAUGAAGGCUUUCGGGUCGUAAAACUCUGUUGUUAGGGAAGAACAAGUACGAGAGUAACUGCUCGUACCUUGACGGUACCUAACCAGAAAGCCACGGCUAACUACGUGCCAGCAGCCGCGGUAAUACGUAGGUGGCAAGCGUUAUCCGGAAUUAUUGGGCGUAAAGCGCGCGCAGGCGGUUUCUUAAGUCUGAUGUGAAAGCCCACGGCUCAACCCGUGGAGGGUCCAUUGGAAACUGGG
rnacentral:rRNA from 1 species